AUUAUGAACACUCGGCAAACCUCGGAAAAUUUCCGGUACUCUAGAAUCUGUCGAGGUUUGCCGACUGAAUUUUGAACAGUCGGGAUUCAUGGUGAACUAUGGAAGCCUAUUGCGGCCAUUUCAGAAUCUCGUCUUCUCUCCGCGAGAAGUCGAGGGCGAGAACACGAGAAGACGAGAAAAUAGGGCGAGAAUACGAGGAUCUCGCCCCGAGAACACGAGAUUACUUUCACCUCGACUUCUCAUGUUCUCGUCCCUCGACUUCUCGCUCCCUCGUGUUCUCGCCUUUGAAAAACCUUGUGUUCUCGCACUCUCGCCCUCGACUUCUCGCCCUCGUCUUCUUGCCUUUGAAAAACCUUGUGUUCUCGCUCCCUCGCCUUUGGGCUAAUCUCGUCUUCUCGUGGUCUCGCUCCCUCGCUUCGUCACAAUCUCGACUUCUCGCCUAGGAAGUGCAGUUUAUACGCAUGUCCACUGACUACCGUAUCAGCAUUUAUAUUUGGAAAUGUAUGAAGGUCUAGAAAAUUUAAUAGUCCUAAACCAUUUUAAUCUCUUCUUGCACAGAUAAUAUUGUAUUCUGUAAUCGAUUUUAAAAGGCUUCGGUCGAAUCUUUCGUUGCCCUCUAACUUCAUCAACCUUCAUCGGGUUUUUUGAUGCGUGGUCUUGUCAGUGUUGUAGAAUGUAGAGUCUGACAAGGGACAACGCAUAGUCGUUCGAAUGGGAUUAAAAACACGAGGUCCCGUGCCUGUAAUCAAUAUGAAGUUGGUUCUACGGUGGCCCAGUGAGUAGGAUGUUUGGCCUCUAACUUCAUCAAAGUUCGUCGUGAUUUUUCUGGCGAUGUCCACCCUAGGACGGAGGGCCUGAGAAGGGACAACGUAUAGCGUUCGGGAAUACAAAUAACCGAGAUCCCGUGUCCGGAAUCUAAAUGAAGUGUGAGCUACGAUGACUCAGUGAGUAGGACGUUUGCUCUCUUACUUCAUCAAAGUUCUCAUUUUUCGGUCUUGGUUCCGGCUUGUCAGUGGUAUAGUCGUUCGAUUGGUAUAAAUAAAAAACGAGAUUCCUUGUCCGAAAUCGAAUGAAGUGAGGGCUACGGUGGCUCAGUGAGUAGCACGUUUGCCCUCUAACUUCAUCAAAGUUUAUCGUGAUUUUUCUGGCUAUGUCCACCCUUGUCAGUGGCGUAGGACGAAGCGUCUGGCAAGAGACAAUGAACCGAGCUACCAUGUCCGGAAUCUAAAUGAAGUAGGAGCUACGGUGGGUCAGUGAGUGGGACGUUUGCACUCUUAGUCUUACUUCACUUCAGUGGAGUAGGAGGAAAGCCCUGGCAAGGGACCGCGUACACUGUAAGCCUUUUCUGUAAUUUUUACAAUUUUAUUGUUUCUGUAAAACGCAUACAGCGCAGUUCUGUUAUCCUGAUAACAGAUUCAAGUCUGUAAAUAUUUGAGAAUUCGAAAUUUUUCCCGUAAAUAUGACAUACGGGUGCUUAAAUUAGAGUGACGUCAUCGGUCUUCCUGGGCGCCAUUACUGCGAAUACCGUUAGUUAGAGGCAAAGAGGAAUCCCACUGCUGGCUCUGCAUCGAGCACAAUAGUUGAACCAUAGAUGGUAUAGUUCUAUGGUUGAACACUACAGUCAAUACCCAACAUUACAGUUUUAGGCACAACUUAUUGCAUCUCCAUUCCUGUCAUCUAUUGAGUAGCCUACCCAGCCUUUCUCUGGGUGACUGAAAUUUUUUCAAAGGUGCAUUUUUGAAAUAAACCCAGAUAACGGACAGAAAUCAUGAAAAAGAGGAAGACUCAAGUGUGCCAAAAAGUGAUAUAACUAAUUACUGAACCGUCAAACUUUGAAUGGAUGAAGUAUGGUUGCAGCAAUAUACUGGUACCGUGAGAUGGUAUACGGUGGUUUAGAUGUCACAUUUCGGGUCAAGGUGUCUAUUCCAGGGUGUGACAAAUUAAGAAAUAUAUUAAAAUGGCUGGGGUCAGACACAAAGUUACUGCUAAGUAAAAUGGCCUCAACAGUUAUCCGCCGAAGGACGCUAGGCAGUUUCAGUUCCAGUGACCCACGUGAUCUGUCACUGUCAAAUGUAUCCUCGAGCUCGUGUUCGACGCGUUCAACACCAGAAUCUGUCUCCCAGACAUCAUCAAGAAUACCAGUGCCCGUACGUGUAACGGUACCCCGCGAUGUGGAAUCGCCCUCUACUUCUGAGGAACAGUCCCUCCUGCAGGCGCUGCCCGAUUUACAAGAUGGUGAAAUUAUAUGUAGGGAGCUAUUUAGGACACCAAAUCGGAACAGGCAGAAAACACUUUCGGCAGUAGAAAGAUACAUGCAGACAAUGAACAAAAAGCAGCAUGAGUUACAGCAAGAAGUGAAAGGGCUGCGAAAAGAAUUAAAAGACAUGAAUAACCUUGUUGUUUUGAUACUACAAAGACUCCCCCCUCAUGGCGAGGGAAGAAGAAGAAGAGAAGAAAUGGGCGAGGGAACAGAUCAGCACAUACCACAAGCACCUAGUCCCCAGGCCGCCACACAGACACUGCCAACGACUGAAACUGUAACAUCAAAAUUCAGUGAUAUCCCACCGGAAUUUCGUAUUUCUACAGAAGAUCUCAAAGCAAUGCACCUCCAUGCUUUUAAUGCCGGUCAUUUCGCAACAAAGGUAGUACAACGGCUUUUUCCGGAACUGACCGGACCCGACAACUUGCGGGGGAAAUAUUCGUAUUUCCGGGGGGGG